GAUGAACGCUGGCGGCGUGCCUAAUACAUGCAAGUCGAGCGAACAGACGAGGAGCUUGCUCCUCUGACGUUAGCGGCGGACGGGUGAGUAACACGUGGAUAACCUCCCUAUAAGACGGGGAUAACUUCGGAAAACCGGAGCUAAUACCGGAUAAUAUAUUGAACCGCAUGGUUCAAUAGUGAAAGACGGUUUUGCUGGCACUUAUAGAUGGAUCCGCGCCGCAUUAGCUAGUUGGUAAGGUAACGGCUUACCAAGGCAACGAUGCGUAGCCGACCUGAGAGGGUGAUCGGCCACACUGGAACUGAGACACGGUCCAGAGUCCUACGGGAGGCAGCAGUAGGGAAUCUUCCGCAAUGGGCGAAAGCCUGACGGAGCAACGCCGCGUGAGUGAUGAAGGUCUUCGGAUCGUAAAACUCUGUUAUUAGGGAAGAACAAAUGUGUAAGUAACUAUGCACGUCUUGACGGUACCUAAUCAGAAAGCAACGGCUAACUACGUG
rnacentral:rRNA from 1 species